rnacentral:rRNA from 1 species
CCUACGGGGGGCUGCAGUGGGGAAUAUUGGACAAUGGGGGCAACCCUGAUCCAGCCAUGCCGCGUGUGUGAAGAAGGCCCUCGGGUUGUAAAGCACUUUCAGUGAGGAAGAACGCCUGGUGGUUAAUACCCAUCAGGAAAGACAUCACUCACAGAAGAGGCACCGGCUAACUCCGUGCCAGCAGCCGCGGUAAUACGGAGGGUGCGAGCGUUAAUCGGAAUUACUGGGCGUAAAGCGCGCGUAGGUGGCUUGAUAAGCCGGUUGUGAAAGCCCCGGGCUCAACCUGGGAACGGCAUCCGGAACUGUCAAGCUAGAGUGCAGGAGAGGAAGGUAGAAUUCCCGGUGUAGCGGUGAAAUGCGUAGAGAUCGGGAGGAAUACCAGUGGCGAAGGCGGCCUUCUGGACUGACACUGACACUGAGGUGCGAAAGCGUGGGUAGCAAACAGGAUUAGAUACCCUUGUAGUC